CAGCAACUCAGUUUCCUGCUGCUCCUGCUGGAAACACCUUUCAUCCCCAAGUUUCUCCCUACCUUUCCCACAUAUUUCAAUUUCUUUUCCUUAACUGGGACAAAAAUUUUUAACUUCCCUUACUACCUCCUCUCUGCUGAUGGUGGCUGGGCUUGGGCUGGGGCCUUAGCUCUGGGCUCUGAGUUGUGCUCUAGACCUUGAGUUCUAAGCUGUUGGCUCUGUGUUGUGCUCUGAGAUCUGCUAUCUGGGGUCUGAGCUGGGCUGGGCUGGGCUG
rnacentral:lncRNA from 1 species